GGACCAAGGAGUCUAGCAUGUGCGCGAGUCAUUGGGACUCUAACUAAACCUACAGGCGCAAUGAAAGUGAAGGUCCGCCGUGCGCGGACCGAGGGAGGAUGGACGGUCCCGAGGGGCCGCCCCGCACUCCCGGGGCGUCUCGUUCUCAAUUUCGAGAAGAGGCGCACCCAGAGCGUACACGCUGGGACCCGAAAGAUGGUGAACUAUGCCUGGUCAGGACGAAGUCAGGGGAAACCCUGAUGGAGGUCCGUAGCGAUUCUGACGUGCAAAUCGAUCGUCGGAACUGGGUAUAGGGGCGAAAGACUAAUCGAACCAUCUAGUAGCUGGUUCCCUCCGAAGUUUCCCUCAGGAUAGCUGGCGCUCGCUUCUCGCGAGUCUCAUUCGGUAAAGCGAAUGAUUAGAGGCAUUGGGGUCGAAACGGCCUCAACCUAUUCUCAAACUUUAAAUGGGUGAGAUCUCCGGCUUGCUUGAACUGUGAAGCCGCGAGAUAUCGGAUCAGAGUGCCAAGUGGGCCACUUUUGGUAAGCAGAACUGGCGCUGUGGGAUGAACCAAACGCCGAGUUAAAGCGCCUAAAUCGACGCUUAUGGGAUACCAUGAAAGGCGUUGGUAACUUAAGACAGCAGGACGGUGGCCAUGGAAGUCGG
rnacentral:rRNA from 1 species